rnacentral:tRNA from 1 species
GGGGUUGUGGCUCAGUGAUAAAGUGCUUACCUAGCAUGCAUGAGCCACUGGGUUCGAUUCUCAGCACCACA